GAGUUUGAUCCUGGCUCAGGACGAACGCUGGCGGCGUGCCUAAUACAUGCAAGUCGAGCGGACUAAUGGGAGCUUGCUCCCAGAGGUUAGCGGCGGACGGGUGAGUAACACGUGGGCAACCUGCCCUGUAGACUGGGAUAACACCGAGAAAUCGGUGCUAAUACCGGAUAAUUUCCGAGUUCACCUGAACUCGGAUUAAAAGAUGGCCUCGGCUAUCACUACAGGAUGGGCCCGCGGCGCAUUAGCUAGUUGGUGAGGUAAUGGCUCACCAAGGCGACGAUGCGUAGCCGACCUGAGAGGGUGAUCGGCCACACUGGGACUGAGACACGGCCCAGACUCCUACGGGAGGCAGCAGUAGGGAAUCUUCCGCAAUGGACGAAAGUCUGACGGAGCAACGCCGCGUGAGUGAUGAAGGAUUUCGGUUCGUAAAGCUCUGUUGUUAGGGAAGAACAAGUGCCGUUCGAAUAGGGCGGCACCUUGACGGUACCUAACCAGAAAGCCACGGCUAACUACGUGCCAGCAGCCGCGGUAAUACGUAGGUGGCAAGCGUUGUCCGGAAUUAUUGGGCGUAAAGCGCGCGCAGGCGGUCUUUUAAGUCUGAUGUGAAAGCCCACGGCUCAACCGUGGAGGGUCAUUGGAAACUGGGAGACUUGAGUACAGAAGAGGAGAGUGGAAUUCCACGUGUAGCGGUGAAAUGCGUAGAUAUGUGGAGGAACACCAGUGGCGAAGGCGACUCUCUGGUCUGUAACUGACGCUGAGGCGCG
rnacentral:rRNA from 1 species